GAUGAACGCUGGCGGCGUGCCUAAUACAUGCAAGUCGAGCGAAUGGAUUAAGAGCUUGCUCUUAUGAAGUUAGCGGCGGACGGGUGAGUAACACGUGGGUAACCUGCCCAUAAGACUGGGAUAACUCCGGGAAACCGGGGCUAAUACCGGAUAACAUUUUGAACCGCAUGGUUCGAAAUUGAAAGGCGGCUUCGGCUGUCACUUAUGGAUGGACCCGCGUCGCAUUAGCUAGUUGGUGAGGUAACGGCUCACCAAGGCAACGAUGCGUAGCCGACCUGAGAGGGUGCUGGGCCACACUGGGACGGAGACACGGCCCGGACUCCUACGGGAGGCAGCAGUAGGGAAUCUUCCGCAAUGGCCGAAAGUCUGACGGAGCAACGCCGCGUGAGUGAUGAAGGCUUUCGGGUCGUAAAACUCUGUUGUUAGGGAAGAACAAGUGCUAGUUGAAUAAGCUGGCACCUUGACGGUACCUAACCAGAAAGCCACGGCUAACUACGUGCCAGCCGCCGCAGUAA
rnacentral:rRNA from 1 species